rnacentral:tRNA from 2 species
UGCCGGGUGGUGAAAUGGCAUCACUGCUGGCUCUGAACCAGCCAUUCUAGGUUCGAAUCCUAGCCCGGCAA